rnacentral:lncRNA from 1 species
CUUCCUGGGCCUGGGACCCGAGCGGAGCCGAGCGGGAAUUGCUUUCCCGGUUUGGUCCGCGGCCGCUGUGAGGGCCGAGCGGAAACCCGUAGACCUUUUAUGUGAAAAGAUUGCGGCCUCCUGGUCACCAGUCACCGAGAGAGGGACCCCUGGACCGCCUAGGUGGUGGUGUCUGCCGCAGGCCAUAGGGAUCCAGCCCACUCAGGCAGUCCCGUGGGGACGCGGCCUUCCCACCCGGGCGGAAAGGCGCUUCCCGCCCGCCCUGCGGUAAUCCCGGAAGCCCUCAGCUGUUAAGCUAAAAUUUCUGUUGCUUUGGCUACUGAUGGAAACCUGUUGUCUGCAGAUCAGACAAAGUUUGGCUGAUCUUGGCUAGGCUUGUCUAUGUUUGGCUGGGCUAGGCUGGACUCCAAUCUUCAGGUCAAGUUUACGUCUGCUUCACAUGUCUUCAUCAUUCUAGAACAAGUUGCCUGCCAGAGAUACAUUCUUCCCACAGUGGGUGACAGAAGUACAAGAGAGACAAAGGCCCAGAAACAGCCUGAAGAGCCUCUGAACUAAGGCCACUUGAAGUAAGGAGGCACGAGGAAUUCUGCCAUAACGAAACUCACCUGGUUGGAACAGGGGCAUGAAGAAAGGGUUUUCUAAGGCAGGAUCAAAAUGAGAGAUUCCAUUUCAGACCUUGGCCCUUCAUCUUUAGCAGGUGAUACUGUAGUCACUGGACCAACCCCCA